rnacentral:rRNA from 1 species
UAGAGUUUGAUCCUGGCUCAGAUUGAACGCUGGCGGCAGGCCUAACACAUGCAAGUCGAGCGGUAGCACAAGAGAGCUUGCUCUCUGGGUGACGAGCGGCGGACGGGUGAGUAAUGUCUGGGAAACUGCCUGAUGGCGGGGGAUAACUAGUGGAAACGGUAGCUAAUACCGCAUAACGUCGCAAGACCAAAGUGGGGGACCUUCGGGCCUCACGCCAUCAGAUGUGCCCAGGUGGGAUUAGCUGGUAGGUGGGGUAACGGCUCACCUAGGCGACGAUCCCUAGCUGGUCUGAGAGGAUGACCAGCCACACCGGAACUGAGACACGGUCCAGACUCCUACGGGAGGCAGCAGUGGGGAAUAUUGCACAAUGGGCGCAAGCCUGAUGCAGCCAUGCCGCGUGUGUGAAGAAGGCCUUCGGGUUGUAAAGCACUUUCAGCGAGGAGGAAGGGUAAUGUGUUAAUAAGACAUUGC